rnacentral:rRNA from 1 species
ACGCUCGACACCUACGGGAAGGCAGCAGUGGGGAAUAUUGCACAAUGGGGGAAACCCUGAUGCAGCGACGCCGCGUGAGCGAAGAAGUAUUUCGGUAUGUAAAGCUCUAUCAGCAGGGAAGAAAAUGACGGUACCUGACUAAGAAGCACCGGCUAAAUACGUGCCAGCAGCCGCGGUAAUCUGAGCGGGCUGGCAAGGC